CGGCUAACGACCUCCACCUGGCCGGGUUUGUUGUUUGGAGUUUGCUCUCCUAGGUGAACUGCCUACCACGGCUAACGACCUCCACCUGGCCGGGUUUGUUGUUUGGAGUUUGCUCUCCUAGGUGAACUGCCUACCACGGCUAACGACCUCCACCUGGCCGGGUUUGUUGUUCGGAGUUUGCUCUCCUAGGCGAACUGCCUACCAUGGCUAACGACCUCCACCUGGCCGGGUUUGUUGUUUGGAGUUUGCUCUCCUAGGUGAACUGCCUACCACGGCUAACGACCUCCACCUGGCCGGGUUUGUUGUUUGGAGUUUGCUCUCCUAGGCGAACUGCCUACCACGGCUGACGACCUCCACCUGGCCGGGUUUGUUGUUUGGAGUUUGCUCUCCUAGGUGAACUGCCUACCACGGCUAACGACCUCCACCUGGCCGGGUUUGUUGUUUGGAGUUUGCUCUCCUAGGCGAACUGCCUACCACGGCUAACGACCUCCACCUGGCCGGGUUUGUUGUUCGGAGUUUUCUCUCCUAGGCGAACUGCCUACCACGGCUAACGACCUCCACCUGGCCGGGUUUGUUGUUUGGAGUUUGCUCUCCUAGGUGAACUGCCUACCACGGCUAACGACCUCCACCUGGCCGGGUUUGUUGUUCGGAGUUUGCUCUCCUAGGUGAACUGCCUACCACGGCUAACGACCUCCACCUGGCCGGGUUUGUUGUUCGGAG